rnacentral:misc_RNA from 1 species
GAAAUGCGAUAAGUAAUGUGAAUUGCAGAAUUCAGUGAAUCAUCGAAUCUUUGAACGCACAUUGCGCCCGCCAGUAUUCUGGCGGGCAUGCCUGUUCGAGCGUCUUUUCAACCAUCAAGCCCCCGGCUUGUGUUGGGGACCUGCGGCUGCCCGCAGGCCCUGAAAAACAGUGGCGGGCUCGCUGUCACACCGAGCGUAGUAGCAUACAUUCUCGCUCAGGGCGUGCUGCGGGUUCCGGCCGUUAAACGACCUUCAUAACCCAAGGUUGACCUCGGAUCAGGUAGGAAGACCCGCUGAACUUAAGC